CCUGAAAUGACCCUAUCCUAUAGCAAUACUGACGAAUAUCUUGCAUAUCACCAUAGAACCUUCAUCUGGUGAUGGAUGGAGAUAGAGACAGAGACCCACACUGGAGCACUGGACUGAGCUCCCAAGGUCCCAAUGAGGAGCAGAUGGAGGGAGAACACGAGCAAGGAUGUCAGGACCACGAGGGGUGCACCCACCCACUGAGACAGUGGGGCUGAUCUAUUGGGAGCUCACCAAGGCCAGCUGGACUGUGACUGAAAAAGCAUGGGAUAAAACCGGACUCUCUGAUCAUGGCGAACAAUGAGGACUGAUGAGAAGCCAAGGACAAUGACAUGGGGUUUUGUUCCUACUUCGUGUUCUGGCUUUGUGGGAGCCUAGCCAGUUUGGAUGUUCACCUUCCUAGACCUGGAUGGAGGGGGGAAGACCCUGGACUUUCCACAGGGCAGGGAACCCUGACUGCUCUUCGAACUGGAGAGGGAGGGGGA